CCCAGGUCAGGCGGGGCUACCCGCUGAGUUUAAGCAUAUCAAUAAGCGGGAGGAA
rnacentral:rRNA from 1 species